rnacentral:rRNA from 1 species
AGGAAUAUUGCUCAAUGGGCGAAAGCCUGAAGCAGCAACGCCGCGUGCGCGAUGAAGGCCUUCGGGUCGUAAAGCGCUUUUGAGAGGGACGAGAUAGGACGGUACCUCUGGAAUAAGUCACGGCUAACUACGUGCCAGCAGCCGCGGUAAAACGUAGGUGGCAAGCGUUAUCCGGAUUCAUUGGGCGUAAAGCGCGUGCAGGUGGCUUCGUAAGUUGGACGUUAAAUUUCCCGGCCUAACCGGGAGGGGUCGUUCAAUACUGCGGGGCUGGAGGGCAGAAGAGGGGGGUGGAAUUGCUGGUGUAGUGGUGAAAUGCGUAGAUAUCAGCAGGAACACCUGUGGCGAAAGCGGCCCCCUGGUCUGCUCCUGACACUCAGACGCGAAAGCUAGGGGAGUGAACGGGAUUAGAAACCCCGGUAAUCCUAGCCGUAAACGAUGGAUGCUAGGUGUGGGUGGUAUUGACCCCAUCCGUGCCGAAGCCAACGCGUUAAGCAUCCCGCCUGGGGACUACGGCCGCAAGGUUA